rnacentral:tRNA from 1 species
AGCAGUAUGGCGCAGUGGAAGCGCAUCGGGCUCAUAACCCGCAGGUCAGAGGAUCGAAACCUCUUACUGCUA